UACGUAGGGGGCAAGCGUUGUCCGGAAUCAUUGGGCGUAAAGAGCGUGUAGGCGGCUUGGUAAGUCCGCUGUGAAAGUCCAGGGCUCAACCCUGGAAUGCCGGUGGAAACUGUCAAGCUUGAGUCCGGAAGAGGCGAGUGGAAUUCCUGGUGUAGCGGUGAAAUGCGCAGAUAUCAGGAGGAACACCAAUGGCGAAGGCAGCUCGCUGGGACGGUACUGACGCUGAGACGCGAAAGCGUGGGAAGCGAUCCGG
rnacentral:rRNA from 1 species